AAAUUCAUAAACUGAAAUCCUCACUCCCAAGAUAAUGGUAUUAGGAGGUAGAGCGUUUUGAAGGUGAUGAAGUCAUGAGGGUGGAGCCCUUAUGAAUGGUACUGGUGCCUUUAUAAAGGCCGCAGAGAGAUCCCUAGAACUUUCCACCACAUGAGGUUACAUCAGGCUCUCAUCAGACACUGAAUUGGCCAGCUCCUUGAUCUUGGAUUUCCCAGCCGUGAGAACUGUCUAAGAGAAAUGAAUGAAGAGGGUGAAGAAGCCCCCUCCACACCACCAUCUAUUUCCUCUGUUGCUAACAGUUAAAAUGCGAAAAACAACAACAACAACAACAACAACAACAAAAACUUAGAAAACAUCAAUCAAGUUAUCUGUUGCUUUUGGGGCAGAAGUAUAAGAAAAAUGCUCUGACACCGUGUCUUGUAUUAGAAUGGAUAAUGGAAAGACAGAAACCCUGUCAGGAACAACAGCUAGAGGCUGGACAAAUGGAAUGGAUCAGAUCAAUCUCCUGUAUUCUCAGAAGAAAAAGAAAAUAACAGAAGUGAUAUGAAGUGGCCAAGGCCAAGAAACUCCCCCCAAAGUUUACACCAUGAAACAGCCUUACGUGACUACACCAUCUCUACCCCAUCCCACAGAGCUUUACCAAGAUGACAGCUUAUCACAUGGAAUCACUUAGAAAUGUAAGAGCUGGGAAGGACUGUUCAAGGUUCGUUUUAUAUUUUCUGUGUCAAAAAUACUGCUUGUAACAAAGUAGAUGCUCAAUAAACAUUUUUGAAUGAAUAAACUGAGGAAUAAAUGAAUCUAUCUUACUCCCUUAUUUUAUAGAAACUGGAGUUUUUCAAGAUCACAUAGCUCAUUGGAGAAAGCUAAAACAAAAACUCAAUUUAUAAGCUCUCCCUUGCCCAAGGCCAUUGCUCCCUAGUGGCGGGGAGUGUGGAGGACAUGGAUGACAUUCACCCAACAGACCUUCUUUGUCUACCCAUCUCCAGAUGAGCUUGGUAUUGUGCUCAGAGAAAGUGUGCAACUGCCCUGCCUCCCAGAAGAUAAUUCAUCUGAAGCUUAGAGUCUAAGCCAGUGUUACCAGUCUGAUUUUGGUGGCCAGUGACUGGUUUAGGAGCAGACUCUGACUCAGAACUUUGGCCAAUGGAGAAAGGGACAUCUGCUCGGGAGAAGGCCUUCUGGGAGAUAUUUUCCUACUUAUUAUGAUUAAAAGUCCACUCCUCA